rnacentral:rRNA from 1 species
CCUACGGGAGGCAGCAGUGGGGAAUAUUGCACAAUGGGGGAAACCCUGAUGCAGCGACGCCGCGUGAGUGAAGCAGUAUUUCGGUAUGUAAAGCUCUAUCAGCAGGGCAGAAAAUGACGGUACCUGAUUAAGAAGCCCCGGCUAACUACGUGCCAGCAGCCGCGGUAAUACGUAGGGGGCAAGCGUUAUCCGGAUUUACUGGGUGUAAAGGGAGCGUAGACGGCAGCACAAGUCUGGAGUGGAAUGCAGGGGCUUAACCUCGGAACUGCUUUGGAAACUGUGCAGCUAGAGUGCGGGAGAGGUAAGUGGAAUUCCUAGUGUAGCGGUGAAAUGCGUAGAUAUUAGGAGGAACACCAGUGGCGAAGGCGGCUUACUGGACUGUAACUGACGUUGAGGAUCGAAAGCGUGGGGAGCAAACAGGAUUAGAUACCCCAGUAGUC